rnacentral:sRNA from 1 species
UUGCACACACAAAGUUGCAGCAAACCCCCUUGCGAAUCUUAUGAAUGUCCCCCUUGGCCGGUUGGGGUGUCGCCGUCGCCGCCGUCGCCACUUUGUGGUGGUGGUGGUGACGGUGGUGUCCCGGCCGGCCAACCCGAGUCCCCGGGGGCUUGGGACUCCCUCCCGGGAGUCCCAUCACCCGGGACUCGGUAACCAACCGAUUGCGCAAUGCAUCAACACUUUCAAAACGACUGAGUAUAAGAAAUCGGGACGCAUCGGGCGGCUCUUGAUCGAGCCACCCAGUGCGCCCCCGAGUUGUAAUAUAAACAAAAACAACUCUCAGCAACGGAUAUCUUGGCUCUUGCAACGAUGAAGAACGCAGCGAAAUGCGAUACGUAGUGUGAAUUGCAGAAUUCCGCGAAUCAUCGAGUCUUUGAACGCAAGUUGCGCCCGAGGCUUGACCAAGGGCAUUUCUGCCAGAGCGUCACCGCGACACCCACCAAUCCGCUCCAGGCGAGCGGGUCGAGUGAAAGUGGCCAUCCGAACGGGGGUUCACCCAGGGACCUCUUGGUCCCCUGGGCGGCCCAGAUUGGGUUGGCUGAAAUGGAUGGAAUUUGGCCGCCGUGGUGACACAGCCCGCGAUCAGGUGAUCCAGGUCUCUUCCUGGAACUCAAUGUGCGUCGGCGGUGUCUCCCAGUCGGUUUAGGGGAUUCCAGAGCAGGUCCCUCGCGGCGGGGCCCCGCACCUCCCUCGGGAGGUGAGGCGGUUCCGCCGGGAGGAAAACGUCACGCAUCAGACCUCUGAUCAGAAAAGACUACCCGCUGAGUUUAAGCAUAUCACUAAGCGGAGGAGAAGAAAC